UACGUAGGGGGCAAGCGUUGUCCGGAUUCAUUGGGCGUAAAGAGCGUGUAGGCGGCCAGGUAGGUCGGUUGUGAAAACUGGAGGCUCAACCUUCAGACGUCGACCGAAACCAUCUGGCUAGAGUCCGGGAGAGGAGAGUGGAAUUCCUGGUGUAGCGGUGAAAUGCGCAGAUAUCAGGAAGAACACCCGUGGCGAAAGCGGCUCUCUGGAACGGUACUGACGCUGAGACGCGAAAGCCAGGGGAGCAAACGGGG
rnacentral:rRNA from 1 species